rnacentral:rRNA from 1 species
GACAGAGGGGGCAAGCGUUGCUCGGAAUUACUGGGCGUAAAGGGCGCGUAGGCGGUUCUAUAAGUCAGGCGUGAAAUUCCUGGGCUUAACCUGGGGGCUGCGCUUGAGACUGUGGGACUUGAGGUCAGAAGAGGGUCGUGGAAUUCCCAGUGUAGAGGUGAAAUUCGUAGAUAUUGGGAAGAACACCGGUGGCGAAGGCGGCGACCUGGUCUGAUACUGACGCUGAGGCGCGACAGCGUGGGGAGCAAACAGG